GAUACUAUAGAAAUAGAGGUCCAUGUGCAUAUUCUAACGUAUAACUUACAACCAAUUUGUAGAUGAAAUCAAUUGACAUGUAAUAGUAGACUGAUCAAUGCCAACUGAAUAGUACGAGGUGGAAGCACAAAGCUCACUAUAUACGAGACUCAUCGCUUCAAUUCGUUGUCGAUCUUCGAAUUUUUGAUCAACUUCAUCCUCUAAGCCGUAAUGAGCUUCUCUCCACGCAGGUUCGGUCCAACGUU